rnacentral:rRNA from 1 species
GAUGAACGCUGGCGGCGUGCCUAAUACAUGCAAGUCGAGCGAACAGACGAGGAGCUUGCUCCUCUGACGUUAGCGGCGGACGGGUGAGUAACACGUGGAUAACCUACCUAUAAGACUGGGAUAACUUCGGGAAACCGGAGCUAAUACCGGAUAAUAUAUUGAACCGCAUGGUUCAAUAGUGAAAGACGGUUUUGCUGUCACUUAUAGAUGGAUCCGCGCCGCAUUAGCUAGUUGGUAAGGUAACGGCUUACCAAGGCAACGAUGCGUAGCCGACCUGAGAGGGUGAUCGGCCACACCGGAACUGAGACACGGUCCAGACUCCUACGAGAGGCAGCAGUAGGGAAUCUUCCGCAAUGGGCGAAAGCUUGACGGAGCAACGCAGCGUGAGUGAUGAAGGUCUUCGGAUCGUAAAACUCUGUUAUUAGGGAAGAACAAAUGUGUAAGUAACUAGGCACGUCUUGACGGUACCUAAUCAGAAAGCCACGGCUAACUACGUG